rnacentral:rRNA from 1 species
CCCUUAGAUGUUCUGGGAUGCACGCGCGUUACACUGAUUCGUUCAACGAGUUUAUGACCUUGCCUGAUGAGGUGGGGGAAUCUUUUCAAAUCGCAUCGUGAUGGGGAUAGAGUAUUGUAACUGUUAGUCUUCAACGAGGAAUUCCUAGUAAGUAGGUGUCAUCAGCUCGUACUGAUUAUGUCCCUGCCCUUUGUACACACCGCCCGUCGCUCCUACCGAGUGGGUGAUCCGGUGAACUAUUCGGACUCCGGUUAUUCCAGCAUUUGGUUUUGCUGGGGAAAGUUUCGUGAACCUUAUCACUUGGAGGAAGGAGAAGUCGUANCA